UCUCAAACUCCUGACUUAGAUAAUCCACCCGCCUCAGCCUCCCAAAGUGCUCGGAUUACAGGCGUGAGCCACUGUUCCCGGCCAAAUUCAUUAUUAUUAUUAUUUUUUUUUAAAAACUGUCCUCUUUCCUCUAAAAAUAUAAGCAUGUGUAAAAGCAUCUCCACAUGCCCAAGCUUCAAACAUAACUCAUGUCAGUUUUUUUUAAAAAAAGCACAUCCAACUUCACUGAACAAUUUAACAUAGUGCAAAUUGUAGGAGUAGUCCUAAAUUUCAUGUCAAGUUAAUCCCAUAGGUUUUCUCCAAUCCACCUUUAGGAUUUAUUUAUAAAUAACUCUGGAUCCUGCCAUCUCCCUUUGGUGCCUGUUUUAAUAUUUCUGCUAGUUUAAAUUCAAACCCAGUCGGAUGUAAAGCAGGUCAAGAGAGACAGGACUCUACCAGGAGCUUUGACUCUCAGCACAAGUUGACACAACUUUUUCAGAGAGAAGAGAGUUCCUACAAGCUGCCCUCCUCAUGCAUCCUUCACCACCCCUCCUGCAGGUUUGACCUCAGUUCUUGGAUUUGGAACCCGGGAUUCUUGGCAACCCUGGAUUCUUGGCAACCCUCAUCCAAGCACCAAUUCAAACCUACAGCUUCAAAGUAAAAUCUGGUUCCCUGUUAAAGUGCAUUUUCUUUUCAUUUGAGUCUGUCAAAUAAGUAAUAGAUGUUUUUCGUAUUAAUUAAAUAAAGGCUCCCAGCUUUUGGUGGAAAACAUUGCAAAUUAUUGUUAAGGUGUUAGAUUUUAUGUGAAUGGAAGAGAUGUGUGUGGAAUAUUGGUCGGUCAAAUCUGAUGGCUGAGGUUUUGCCAUAUUAUAUACUGAAACAUCUAGGAAAGUAUGUACUACUAUUACAUAAUUUUGUUUUAUUUUAUUUUAUUUUAUUUUAAUUUUGAGACAGAGUCUUGUUCUUGUUGCCCAGGCUAGAGUGCAGUGGCAUGAUCUCAGCUCACUGUAACCUCCGUCUCCCGGGUUCAAGCAAUUCUACUGCCUCAGCCUCUCAAGUAGCUGGGAUUACAGGUGCCUAAUUUUUGUAUUUUUAUAGAGAUGAGGUUUCACCUUGUUGGCCAGGCUGUCUCCAACUCCUGACCUCAGGUGAUCCGCCCAUCUCCGCCUCUCAAAGUGCUGGGAUUACAGGCAUGAGCCACCGCACCCAGCCUAUAUUACAUCUUUAAAGGGGUUGAACAAAAUGCCCAACAAUAUUAUAAAUAAAUUAGAACAAGAAGUCCAUGCUGCUGAAUGACAUGGUUGAAAUGUCUGUUCAAUAUCUCUGAUUCUACAUUCUUGAAACUGUUUUUUUUUAAAAAGAAGGUGAUGUGAACAGUAAUUUUCCUUGCAGCAAACCCAGCUAAGUAAUAAUUUCUAGCACACCUCGAAUUUCUAGCAAGAGUGCAAUGUGGUCAUUUAGUCACGCAUGUUGCCAGUCACUCUGAGCCCACAGUGCACAUAAACGGUGGCUUGCAUCUCAUUGCAAUCUUGGCUUCUUGGCCUGGAAAGUCAAUAAAUGAAACAUCAUGCAGGUAGCCAAUGAAUGUUGUUCAUCAUUCCUUAGAGCAUGAAUUCAAUGGAAGAUGAAGAAACCAACAAAUGCAAAUAAAGAAAGUCCCCUUUAGCUUGCUGGCCUAGACAGGCACAUCUGAAUGUUGAUUUUGGGGUUUCCAUAGCAGCAUAUGAUACGCAUCAUUGAAGGCUCCCAACCAUUAAUACAACGAUUUCUACCGUCCAUGGUGGAUCCCAUUCCACUACAGAAUCCACCUCUGGGGAGGAACCUUGAAGCAGUCAAGAGAUAAGACCUGAUGACUGAGGGUUGAGUAUAACUCCCUGUCAUCUACUUAUCAUUCCUUUCUCUUCCACUCAAGAAAGCUCACUAGAAUGCAGAUGAGUGGACAGCACAUGACCACAGGGAAGGGAUAAGGAAACUAUCCUGGCAAACUCUGGUGCGUUGACUAACAUUGCCCAUGAGAAUUACUCAUGCCAUACCUCACAGUUGUGUUGUGAUGCUACCAUUGAAAUCUGACAGAUCAAGACAAAACAACCCAAGCCUGCCCAUUAGAAGAAAGUACCCCUGGAUCAUGCAAAGAACCAUCAGUGACAGAGUCCAUUUCUGCAUACAGUGUAUCUGAAGGACCUCCAACAAGAGGGUGGAGGAGCCACUACUAGGUCCCCAUACCUCCAAUGGAUAUUUAACAUCUCUAGCAGGCACCAUUGGCGGACUGAUUCAACUGCCAAUCCCAAUUCUUUUCUCCUUUCCUUCCUCUAGUACAGAGGCUGGAAAGCAAAAUACUGCAUUCACAGCUCCCCUUGAAGCUUGAACUAGCUGUGUGAUAUAGUUCUGGCCAAUCAGAUGUAAGUGGAAUUUUGCUGGGACUGAGCCUUUCCCCACUUCCUUCUCCCUGCUAUAAAUGAUGAUGUAGUGGCUGGAGAUACAGCAACCAUUGUGUCACCAUGAGGCAGUCAGCAUGAGGAAAGGGCCAAGAGGAUGUCUGAGACGUUGCCCCAAUAUCCUCCAGUCCCUGAACUCUAUAUUUCUGGUUAUGUGACAGAAAUCUGCUUAAACUAUCAUUGUCAGGAUGUUAUAAUCAAAUGCGUUCUGACCUGACAGAGAAUUUUACAUAAUGAGAUCAGUGAGCAAUUUUAGACCUUUCAGCUGCCAGUAUAGUUUGCUCCGUUGCUAUAGUCAAUUUUCACCUAAAAAUGCUGCAUCUGCAUUUCUGUGCACAGGCAGACAACAGGAGCAGCUUGCUCCAGGAGGAGUCCUAUAUGUAGCCCUGGGGAUUCCUAAAGUGACUCUUGGACUUUAAACCUUUAGUCAGCCAACUGCUGGUGUUGUCCGCUGUACAGGCAAAAAUCUAUGAUUUCUUGUACUUCAAAUUUCAAGCGGAUUUAAAAGCGUGUUUGUUGGUGCAAGCUCUCUGCCAGUGGGGGGUCUUAAGGGAGAGGGUGACUUUAUGACUUACAGAAAGACUGGGAAAAAAGGGGGCAGGGAGGGCUUUGUCCUGUACCCAUGGGAUUCCUUCACCCACUGGGGAGAGAUAUUCCUGCCAGAAGGUAUUAGAAUAAAGGGCCUGGAGGGCCCAGACAGGAGGGUGCUUGGGGGUGGCUGGGGAGAGGGGACAUCUGAACAGGUGAGGCUCCACUGGGUUAGCCUGAGGCUCUGCACAAAACCUCUAGCAGCUCUGACAAUCACCACCAGCCCUGGCUGUCUGAGGGCCACCACCAGAGAGCACCUUUGUGUUGGCAUUCUGCCCCAGCCUCUGCCAUGCUAUGCAGACUCCUGUCUCCAGUUCUUGGACAGAAGACAGACCUCGUUAUCUUCACACAGUACCUGGUGUCUUGGGGCAUGAGUCUAUCUGCCCAAACCUGACUUGCCUUUCCACGAAGGCACUGGCCCAGACACAAGAUUCCUUGGUACUCACGGCUUCUGCUAUGCCUGAAUACCAAGUUCUCUGGUUAAUUUGCUUCUUGCAAAUGAAGGGAAUACAUGACAGAGAAUGUAUCCUAGAUGUUGCCAACUAGUGGCCUCCGGGCCUGUGGUAGGCAGAAUGCUCCCACCCCCCAAAACACCGAAGUCCUAAUUUCUGGACCCAGUGAAUAUGUGACCUAAUAGGGCAAAAGGGACAUUGCAGGUGUGAUUAAUUUAGGACCUGGGCUGGGGAGAUGAGCCUGGAUUUCCCAGGUGAGCCCAAUGUAAUCAUAGACACCCUUAUAAGUGAAAGGAGGUGGCUGGGCAUGGUGGCUCAUGCCUGUAAUCCCAGCACUUUGGGAGGCCGAGGCAGGAGGGAUCACAAGGUCAGGAGUUCGAGACCAGCCUGGCCAAUAUGGUGAAACCCCGUCUCUACUUAAAAAAAAAAAAAAAAAUUAGCUGGGCAUGGUGGCGCACACCUGUAAUCCCAGCUACUCAGGAGGCUGAGGCAGGAUAAUUGCUUGAACUUGGGAGGCGGAGGUUGCGUUAAGCUGAGAUCACGCCACUGCACUCCAGCUUGGGUGACAGAGGGAGAUUCCGUCUCAAAAAAAAAAAAAAGUGAAAGGAGGUGGCAGGGAGUCUGAAUCAGAGAGAAGUGGGAAGACGUGAGUUACACUGCUGGCUUAGAAGAUGGAGCAAGAGGGCACGCGCCAAAGAAUGAAAGUGGCCUCCAGAUGCUGGAAAAGACAAGGAAACAAAUUCCCCCCUAAAGCCUCAAGAAGGAAUUCAGCUCUGCUGACCUCCAGAACAGUAAGAUAAUAAGUCUGUAUUUGUGUGUGUGUGUGUGUGUGUGUGUGUGUGUGUAUGUGUGUGUGUGUGUGUGUGUGUGUAGAUGGGGUUUCGCUGUAUUGCCCAGGCUGGUCUUGAACUCCUGAGCUCAAGUGAUCCUCCUGCCUCGGCCUCCCAAAGUACUGGAAUUACAGGUGUG
rnacentral:lncRNA from 10 species